UACGAAGGGUGCAAACGUUGCUCGGAAUUAUUGGGCGUAAAGCGCACGUAGGCGGCUUAGCAAGUCGGAAGUGAAAUCCCACGGCUCAACCAUGGAAGUGCUUUCGAAACUGCUGAGCUUGAGUACUUAAGAGGAUCGCGGAAUUCCCGGUGUAGAGGUGAAAUUCGUAGAUAUCAGGAGGAACACCGGUGGCGAAGGCGGGUCUCUGGGCCGAUACUGACGCUGAGGAGCGAAAGCGUGGGGAGCGAACAGG
rnacentral:rRNA from 1 species